rnacentral:rRNA from 1 species
UACGGAAGGUCCGGGCGUUAUCCGGAUUUAUUGGGUUUAAAGGGAGCGCAGGCCGGAAGCAAAGCGUGCCGUGAAAUGUAGAUGCUCAACAUCUGAAUUGCGGCGCGAACUGGUUUUCUUGAGUGCAUACGAGGUAGGCGGAAUUUGUGGUGUAGCGGUGAAAUGCUUAGAUAUCACGAAGAACCCCGAUUGCGAAGGCAGCUGCCCGGAGCGCAACUGACGCUGAAGCUCGAAGGUGCGGGUAUCGAACAGGAUUAGAUACCCUGGUAGUCCGCACGGUAAACGAUGGAUGCCCGCUGUCGGCGACAGACUGUCGGCGGCCAAGCGAAAGCGUUAAGCAUCCCACCUGGGGAGUACGCCGGCAACGGUGAA